rnacentral:tRNA from 1 species
GCCCUGGUGGCACAAUGGGUAAACACUUGGCUGCUAACCAAAAGUCUGGUGGUUCAAAUCCACCCAGCUGCU